rnacentral:rRNA from 1 species
AUUGAACGCUGGCGGCAGGCCUAACACAUGCAAGUCGAACGGUAACAGGAAGCAGCUUGCUGCUUUGCUGACGAGUGGCGGACGGGUGAGUAUUGUCUGGGAAACUGCCUGAUGGAGGGGGAUAACUACUGGAAACGGUAGCUAAUACCGCAUAACGUCGCAAGACCAAAGAGGGGGACCUUCGGGCCUCUUGCCAUCGGAUGUGCCCAGAUGGGAUUAGCUAGUAGGUGGGGUAACGGCUCACCUAGGCGACGAUCCCUAGCUGGUCUGAGAGGAUGACCAGCCACACUGGAACUGAGACACGGUCCAGACUCCUACGGGAGGCAGCAGUGGGGAAUAUUGCACAAUGGGCGCAAGCCUGAUGCAGCCAUGCCGCGUGUAUGAAGAAGGCCUUCGGGUUGUAAAGUACUUUCAGCGGGGAGGAAGGGAGUAAAGUUAAUACCUUUGCUCAUUGACGUUACCCGCAGAAGAAGCACCGGCUAACUCCGUG